CAUCUUUGAUGAGAUAUGUGGCUUUGGACAUAUUACUUGACUCUUUCUGUGCCACAGUCCCCUUUUUAUAGAGUCGUUGCAAGGAUCAAGUGAGUUGAAAUCCGUAAGGUGCUUGGGAGAAUGCCUGGCGCCUGGAAGCACUGUAUAUUCCAAAAAAGGAGAUAUAAACAUGACCAUAAAAGACAUGAAAAGAUGUUUAACCCCAUUAGUCAUCGUGGAAAUGCAAAUGAAAACCACCAUACAGACACUAGAGUGGUUUAAAUUUGAAUGACUUCCAACACCAAAUGCCAGACAGGACAUAGAGCAACUGGAUGUCUCAUGCUCACAGAUGCCAUUUUGGGGCUGCCUUUCAAUGGAAUAGAAACGGAA
rnacentral:lncRNA from 10 species